GUAGGUGGCAAGCGUUGUCCGGAAUUAUUGGGCGUAAAGCGCGCGCAGGCGGUUCUUUAAGUCUGAUGUGAAAGCCCACGGCUCAACCGUGGAGGGUCAUUGGAAACUGGGGGACUUGAGUACAGAAGAGGAAAGCGGAAUUCCAAGUGUAGCGGUGAAAUGCGUAGAGAUUUGGAGGAACACCAGUGGCGAAGGCGGCUUUCUGGUCUGUAACUGACGCUGAGGCGCGAAAGCGUGGGGAGCAAACAGGAUUAGAUACCCUGGUAGUCCACGCCGUAAACGAUGAGUGCUAAGUGUUAGGGGGUUUCCCGCCCCCCUUAGUGCUGCAGCUAACGCAUUAAGCACUCCGCCUGGGGGAGUACGGCCGCAAGGCUG
rnacentral:rRNA from 1 species